rnacentral:snoRNA from 1 species
AAGACUAGAAGUCACAUCCUGACAUAGCUCCUGCCCUGGUGUGCUAGAGUACUCAAGGGGAAUCUGCUGGUCUCGAUUCACUGGUGGGCACCAUCAGUGCUCCUACUGCUGCCUAAAUUGGAUCAGAAACAUAU